rnacentral:rRNA from 1 species
CCUACGGGUGGCAGCAGUGAGGAAUAUUGGACAAUGGGCUUACGCCUGAACCAGCCAAGUCGCGUGAGUGAAGACUGCCCUCUGGGUUGUAAACCUCUUUUGUCAGGGAGCAACGCCGGCUACGUGUAGCCGGACUGAGAGUACCUGAAGAAAAAGCAUCCGCCAACUCCGUGCCAGCAGCCGCGGUAAUACGGAGGAUGCGAGCGUUAUCCGGAUUUAUUGGGUUUAAAGGGUGCGUAGGCGGAAUGCCAAGUCAGCGGUAAAAUCGCGGGGCUCAACCUCGCUCCGCCGUUGAAACUGGCGGUCUUGAGUGGGCGAGAGGUAUGCGGAAUGCGUGGUGUAGCGGUGAAAUGCAUAGAUAUCACGCAGAACUCCGAUUGCGAAGGCAGCAUACCGGCGCCCAACUGACGCUGAAGCACGAAAGCGUGGGUAUCGAACAGGAUUAGAUACCCCUGUAGUC